rnacentral:miRNA from 1 species
CGUGUCUGUGUGUAUGUUGCAG